GUCUUAAGAGGGGAUGAGGAAGGAGCAGGGUGAGAAGAUGUGCUGAGACUGGAGUCCUAGUGAGGUGACCAGACGUGGACGUCCAAGUGGGGCACUUAGCAGAGGCUGCGCUGCAGAGCAGACGUGGCUGUGGACAAGGCCACCUAUGAAAACUGGGAACUGCGAGAAGGGAGAAGGUCAGGGACAGAGCUGGGCUGACCCCAGUGUUUCGGGGGGCCCACAGAAGGGUGCUCAAAGUAGGCGUGAGACACGUGGAGACCCAGGAUGCUUCUGAAGGUGUGUAAGGGGAAGGUGUGCGCAUGCCGGGCGGUGGGGAGUCAGCCACUCGGAGGCCACUGACGGAAACCCCACCGUUUUGGAAAUGGCCCUUGGUUGAUCAAACAAAUGUUUACUGUGCCAGGCACAUCCAACUGUGUUUGGCAAUAGCAUUCCUGCAACAGCAAAAAUAUUUCUAAACCCCAAUGCAUUGUGCUCAUCUCUGGCAGCUUUAAGACUGUUCACAUCAUGGUAAUAUUUGGGUGGACAAUGUCUGGCAGCACAGCUCCCCACCUGCAUGCACAUGCAUGGAAAGUACAACCGUGUAUGCUUUUUCAUAAACAGGACUGUGUGCGAUGCUGUGCGUACUUUUUCAUGAACAGGACUGUGUGCGAUGCUGUGCGUGUUUUUUCAUGAACAGGACUGUGUGCGAUGCUGUGCGUGCUUUUUCAUGAACAGGACUGUGUGCGAUGUCCUAUACUGCACUUCUGCCACUCAGUGAGGGAUCGGGGUCCUCUUUUUUGUGUCUGUAAAUUGAGAUCUACGUCCCCAUUUGCGUCAGCUGCAUAGUAUUCCAUUGUUUUCCCGUGUUGCAUUUUAUUUGUGCUGAGCACUUAUAUUUGUGAGAUUAAUCCAUUUUUGAGAUCCAUCCACAUGUUGUGUAGUAAUAGUGCAUUCACUCUGUUGCCAUGAGGAUGGCAUGAUUUGUUCAUUCAUAGCACUGUUGACAGGCUUUUGGGUGCUGUAUUAGUGAGCAGGGUUCUCCAGAGAGACAGCACCAACAGUGUACAUUUACACACACUCACACACACACACACACACACAGAGGGAGAAAGAGAGAGAACGAGAGAGUGAGCAAGCAUGAGAGCCAGAGAGGGGCUUCGUUAUGGGAAUUGGAUUAGACUAUGAUGGAGGCUGAGAAGUCUCAGGACCUCCUGUGCAAGCGGGAGAACCAGGGAAGUCGAUAGCAUGGCUCACCCCAAGCCAAAGGCCUCAGAACCAGGGGGGCAAUAGUGUUGCUCUCAGUUUGAGGCCAAAGGCCUGAGAACCUGGAGCUCUGAUACCCAAG
rnacentral:lncRNA from 10 species